rnacentral:lncRNA from 10 species
CAGGACCCUCCCUCCCCUGCCGGCCAGGGCUGCCCGCACGCGCGCCUUACUAGCAGUGGUUGCGAGAUCGGAGAAGGGGAAGGAGAAAUGAGGCCGGCGACGGAAGGAUAAGUGUAGUCACAGGCUCGGCUUCACGUGAAGGGCAAGGCGGUGUACAUGUUCGCUGAAGGCUAGCCUCAGGAUUCAGUCAGGCGUUAGGAAGGACAAUCGCGGGAUACUAACGAGAGGUCCUCAGAGCAAAGUUGAAGGCGAGCCGCUAUCAUCUGCUGUUCUCUGCCGCAGAGAGGACUGGAGGCUCACAGCUGGAGGAAUUUGCCUUGGGAUGAAUCAUGCCUUGAGUCUCACCUAUAUCUGAUUUAGAUGAGACUUUGGACUUCAGGCUUUUGAGUUGAUGCUGGAUUGAGUUAAGACUUUUGGGACUAUUGGGAUGGAAUGAAUACAUUUUGCAAGUGAGAAGGACAUAAAUUUGGCUGGGGGGCAGGGGGAGAAUUUUAUGCUUUGAAUGUGUCCCCCCCAAAUUCAUAUGUUGGAAACUUGGCUGCCAUUGUGGCAGUACUGAAAGGUGGGGCCUUUGGGAGGCAAUUGGGUCACAAGGACAGAGCCUUCAUGAAUGGAUUGAUGUUGUUACUACAGGAGUGGACUCCUGAUAAAAGGAUAAGUUUGGCUGCCAUUGUCUGUCUGUUUCAUGUACUAACUUCUGCCUUUCACUUUUCCAUCAUGGGAUGAACUUCACCAGAUGACGGUGCCAUGCUCUUGGACUUACCAACCUCCAGAACUGUGAGCUGAAUAAACGUCUUUUCUUUAAACAUUACCCAGUGUGUGGUAUUCUAUUAUGGCAGCAGAAAAU